rnacentral:lncRNA from 10 species
CACAUUGUGCACAUGUACCCUAAAACUUAAAGCAUAAUAAAAAAAACAAAAUAAACAACAAAAAAAAAAACAACAAGGAGAUUCAUGAGAAGGAUGGAAUGGACCCUGACAAGCACUCUUGAAUACAGGCUUCCAGUAACUUUAGGAUCAUAUUAUUUGGACUGGAUAAGAAGUCUCAGAACUCUAAUGAAGAGACUGCCUGGUUUAUGAAACUGGUAAUAUAAACAGGAUAAAAACUAAUUGAAUAUCAAGAAAAUAAUUUGCCAUAUUUUCAUGCCGAAUUAGCCAGAACUGAAAUUGUUUAUAUAUGCAAUUUGAAUGAACACUUAUGGUCCAAGUCAUAUUACCUGUGAAAGCCAAUUUAAUAAAUAGUGCUAUGCACCUGAAUUAGAGAAACAAAAUUGGUAGUUAGGAGGAUACAGGCCAGGUAUGAUGUCUCAUGCCUGUAAUUCUAGUGCUUUGGGAGGUCAAGGUGGGAGGAUCACUGAAGGCCAGGCAGGGCAACAGAGUGAGACCCUAGCUGUACAAAAUAUUUUUAAAUUUUUAAAAAAAGAAUAUAAAUCCAGUGUUAAGCAGGGACUCAUGGAGAGCCUAGAUGGCCACCUGGUCUUCCCUGAGUCCUUAAAGCUUCCAUUAUUAAAAGCUCUGCAAUCUAUGGAUCAUCAUGGAAGGGCUAAAAUAAUCCAAAUGAUGAGUGAGUGUUUGGGUAGCAACUGUCCUAAAUUGCUAAAAUGGUUUAUGACCAAUAUUUGGUUUGUCACAUCCAUCCCAUGAAGUAAGUCAAAAGUCCGGCAGCCUUAUAACUCUUGCCAAAGGCCAACUCCCCCAUAAAUUCUUUCCUAGUUCUACCAUUAAACAUAGAUCUUUUAAUCCAAAUGACACUUUGUAGUGGUUAGUUACUCCAUCUUAUUUGUAUUUCUAUGUAGUAAUUAUACAGUAUUUACAAGACAUGAUGAAUUGGUCUUUUGUUCUCCCUCCUCCUCCUUACUCCUAGGUUAGGUAAGUUAUUGAUGGAGUCCUUUUGUGUCUUACUCAUCUUUGAAUCCUUUUUAGUGUUCAUCUCAUAGGUAAUGCUCAAUUAAUAGCUGAACUAAGUACUACUUCAGAUAUGCUUAUCUUAAUAUUCUUGCAAUCAUAGAUUAUAGAGCUGAGACGCUAAGAACUUUCAGGAGAGCAAAAAAGACAAGACCUUACAGUUAACAAAUAGUUUUUAAAAUACAAGUCUGAAAUCCAUAAAACUUCACAUUUCAAAGGUCAAGUGCCUUCUCAAAUGUUCACCACCCCCAGUGAUAAGAUAAAUGCACACAGACACAAUUUUAUGACAGCCAUUUUGUUGCCACACAGAAGGGCCACUUGGGCAGUGUAUUUAGGCCUGCCUGGUUAAAAACAGCCAGGUGCCUAUGAGGUCUCCUAUGUCAUUAGUCUGUAAGUACUUAGUAAAAAGCAGUAUUUGAAUCUCAUGGUUCAUUGCUGUAACAGAAAGGGCUGGACUCUAUAGCUCAGCAAAAACACCAGGGAAAGGACUAUACAGUUUUAGGGGAGAUCUUGAAGUCUUCUAGCACAACUUUUUUUAAGAGUCAGGGUCUCUGUCACCUAGGCUGGAGUGCAGUGGCGUGAUCAUAGCUGACUGCAGCCUGUUUCAAACUCCUGGGCUCAAGUGAUCGUCCCAAAGUGCUGAGAUUACAGGCGUAAGCCACUGCGCCUGGGCUAUCAUAUUCUUUAAAAAUAUCACAUAUUUUUAAAUGUGAUAUUUAAAAAUCACAUUUUUAAAUAUCACUGUGCCUGGCGUGGGCCAGGCACAGUGGCUCACGCCUGUAAUCCCAGCACUUUAGGAGGUCGAGGCACGUGGAUCAUCUAAGGUCAGGAGUUCGAAACCAGCCUGGCCAACAUGGUGAAACCCCGUCUCUACUAAAAAUACAAAAAUUAGCCAGGCAUGGUGGUGCACACCUAUAAUCACAGCUACUCAGGAGGCUGAGGUAGGAGAAUCACUUGAACCCAGGAGGUGGAGGUUGCAGUGAGCCGAGAUCGCGCCAUUGCACUCCAGCCUGGGCAACAAAAACAAAACUCCGUCUCAAAAAAAAAAAAAAAAAAAAAAAUCUCAUCAGACCAGACCAGUAGUUAACAUUUGGAAUUUGAUUUAUAAUGGACAAACAUGGUUGUCUUCAUUUGAGAAGUUUAUUGAGCAUUUACGUGCCAGGAGUGGGCUACGAGAUCCAGUCAACAAACAAACAAUACAUACUCCCAGUAAUAAAUUAAUUCCAAUCCAUUAGCCAAAGUAUUUUUCUCCAAAGUAGUAAUCACCACUGACACUAGGUAUAAAAUGCUCCAACAAGCCGGGCGCAGUGGCUCACCCCUGUAAUCCCAGUACUUUGGGAGGCCGGUGGACCACCUAAGGUCAGGAGUUUGAGACCAGCCUGACCAACAUGGAGAAACCCCAUCUCUACUAAAAAUACAAAAUUAGCCAGGCGUGGUGGUGCAUGCCUGUAAUCCCAGCUACUCAGGAGCCUGAGGCAGGAGAAUUGCUUGACCCCAGGAGGCGGUGGUUGUGGUGAGCCGAGAUCGUGCCAUUGCACUCCAGCCUGGGCAACAAGAGCAAAACUCUCAAAAAAAAAAAACAAAAAAAAAAAAAAAAAAAAAAAACGAAAUGUGCAGAACCUUCUAACUAAAAGUAACUUCCUUAUUUCAGAAAAGGAAAAUCAGAUCUAGAAGUUAUUUCUCAAGUAGCUAGAAAGCAAGAGUUGAUCAGAAAUGACCAACUGCUAUCAAGUUUAGUGUUCCUCUAAGUACUGAAAAGGACUUAUGAGUACUUUAAGAACUCUCCUUUUCCUACCAAAGAUAUUGGAGCCCACAUAUGUAAAUAUAUUUUGACUUACUGGAGACAGAGAGAUGGAUAAGAAUGAAGUUUCGGUACAGCAAAUCCCCAUCAACAAAAUAAAAUGGCAAGGAAGGGGGAACCCUAGGAAAAAUAUUUUAGAACAUGACCAUGUAUGACCCUUACAGACAAAAGCCUUUAUAUAUCAGUAAAAAAAAAAAAAAAAAAAAGAGGCCGGGCGCGGUGGCUCAAGCCUGUAAUCCCAGCACUUUGGGAGGCCGAGGUAAGUGGAUCAUGAGGUCAGGAGAUCGAGACCAUCCUGGCGAACAUGGUGAAACCCCGUCUCUACUAAAAAUACAAAAAAAAAAAAAUUAGCUGGGCGUGAUGGCAGGCGCCUGUAGUACCAGCUAAUCGGGAGGCUGAGGCAGGAGAACGGCGCAAACCCAGGGGGCAGAGCUUGCAGUGAGCCGACAUCGCACCACUGCACUCCAGCCUGGGAGACAGUGAGACUCCGUCUCAAAAAAAAAAAAAAAAGGCCAGGUGUGGUGGCUCACACCUGUAAUCCCAGCACUGUGGGAGGCCAAGGCAGGCAGAUCACAAGGUCAGGAGUUCGAGACCAGCCUGGCCAAUAUGGUGAAACCCCGCCUCUACUAAAAAUACAAAAAUUAGCAGGGCAUGGUGGUGGGUGCCUGUAGUUCCAGCUUCUCGGGAGGCUGAGGCAGGAGAAUUGCUUGAACCUGGAGGCAGAGGUUGCAGUGAGCCAAGAUCAGGUCACUGCACUCCAGCCUGGACGACGGAGACUCCAUCUCAAAUAAAUAAAUAACUAAGUAAAAAAAAAGGUAACACAUUAAGAAUGAGCAAAGGCUAUGAAAAAUUAAAAGUAAAUAAAUAAAUCAGUAGGCUGGGCGUGGUGGCUCACACCUGUAAUCCCAGCACUUUGGGAAGCUGAGGCGGGCAGACCACGAGGUCAGGAGCUCAAGAGCAGCAUGGCCAACAUGGUGAAACCUUGUCUCUACUAAAAAUACAAAAUGUUAGCCGGGUGUGGUGGCAUGGGCCUGUGGUCCCAGCUAAUUGGGAGGCUAAGGCAGGAGAAUCGCUUGAACCCAGGAGGUGAAAGGUGCAGUGAGCUGAGAUUACGCCACUGCUCUCCAGCCUAGGUGACAGAGCAAGACUCUGUCUCAAAAAAAUAAAUAAAUCAGUAAAAAAAAUUUAAUGCAGUAAGAAUGAGCAAAGGCUAUGAAAAGCUAGUAACAGAGGAAAUAAAGUAGCUGUGAAAAUAUUAAAAGAUGGCCGGGCAUGGUAGUUCACACCUGUAAUCCCAGCACUUUGGGAGACCAAGGCAGGAGGAUCACUUGAGCCAAGGAGUUCAUCAUCAGCCUGGACAACAUGGCAAGACCCUCCCUCUACAAAAAGUAGAAAAAUUGGCUGGGCGUGGUGGUAUGUGCCUGUAACCCCAGCUACUCAGGAGGCUGAGGUGGAAGAAUCAAUUGAACCCAGGUGGCAGAAGCUGCAGUGAGCUGAGAUCACACCACUGUACUCCAGCCUGGGUGAGAGAGAUGGAGACCCUGUCACAAAACAAACAAAAGAGAUAUUGACAAGUUUUCAUAAUCCUAUGCAUUCUAUCUUCUCAGCUUUUGUUCCAGCAAUUUUUUCAUUUCCCUGAGAAUUUUAACUGUCCUAUUAUUUUCCUGCCUACAGUACCUCUUUAUGCAGGUACAUCCUCUGGGCAGAGAAGCCAGCUAUGCUCUUCAGUAUUGUCAGCCUGCCACAUAUAUCCAGUUUAGGAAUUUCUCUUAAACACAAAGUACUCUAGAAACUUACAAAGAGCAGCCGGGUGCGGUGGCUCACACCUGUAAUCCCAGCACUGUGGUAGGUAGGCCAAGGCAGGUGGAUCACCUGAGGUCAGGAGUUCGUG